rnacentral:rRNA from 1 species
UACAGAGGUCUCAAGCGUUGUUCGGAUUCAUUGGGCGUAAAGGGUGCGUAGGCGGCGCGGUAAGUCGGGUGUGAAAUCUCGGAGCUUAACUCCGAAACUGCAUUCGAUACUGCCGUGCUUGAGGACUGGAGAGGAGACUGGAAUUUACGGUGUAGCGGUGAAAUGCGUAGAUAUCGGGAGGAACACCAGAGGCGAAGGCGGCGACCUGGACAGGUAUUGACACUCAACUACGAAAGCGUGGGGAGCAAACAGG